AGGUCUUACUUGGAUGUUGGAAUACUGGCGAAGGCUUAACUAUGCCAGAAUUCAAUCUUAAAAGGCACUUAUAAUAAGAUAAUACAAAAAGAGAGCACGCGGAUCCAUACACCAGACUAACUUGGGGAUAGGGUAAGAAUGUACGGGUUAUGAGAAUGCCAAAGUUCCAGGAGUGAGCUGUGCACACCUACUUGUGAGUCCUUGGAAGUGAAGCUAUCAGGUUAUGGAGUCUACAUGGCCUCUAUGGAAAUAAUGACUGGCAAAGACCUCUCAACCCUUGACCAGUGUUCAGUGCCUCCCACCCUGGAGACUGCUUUUCUUCCAGCUUUCGGGGAGUGCCGAGGCUCACUUAGCCUCUCUGCUGUGAGGUUAUAUCAGACCCUGUAGUGAAUUGCUCUUUCUCUGCCAUGUAUUCCUGCCAUAAUGUACUUCCUUAUCACAAUUUGAAAAAAGCAAAAUAAAGGACAUACAUGUUCGACUAUGAUCUCU